rnacentral:lncRNA from 1 species
GAUCUAACAAUUUUCCGUGAACCUUCAAACAAACAUAAUGCAUCGGUUUCAUUAGCUGUGGACACAUUCCAUAUGGGUAACUGGUACUUAUAAGGGUUAUUAUUUAUCCAGUUCAUCCAUAUGUGUUCAGUCAAUGAGUGCUUGCAUAUUACAUGCUGAUAGAUAGGUGGUGGAGAAAGGUUCUUGAGGGAGCGUGUGUGACGAAUGCUAGAUGAGGGGCUAAGGCCUAAUUGGGCUGGGGGUAUUGAAGAAUUGUUCAUCAUGUCAGAGUCAUUUCUCCAGAAACAAACAGGUUUCAAACUUCCCAUUGACUUGUACUUAUAAUGGCAUUCAAGGAAUAAUAUCAGAGGGAGUAUAACAACUCCAGAAAGCAUAGCGCACAACAUAAUCUUGGUCUCAGGUUCGUAUGAUCCUCUCAAUCUACGAUAUGGUGUGAAAGCCAUGAUGCUUCGCUAAGGGGAAAUUCUUCUCUUUCCGAGUGAGGAGUGGUGUUGUCUUCCUUGGUUCCCCUCUUUGGACACAGCUUCACUCGGGGUGCGUGAAUCCAGAUGUCGUGGGAAUCUGUGAGGACAGCGGUUCUGGUUACAGCAAUCACAGUAGCAGGUGGUCCGAAAGGGUAUCCUCCUUUCUUGGUCCUAUUCAGCUGACUGAUAUACACCUUGUCACCAGGCUGGUAUGGAUGAGUAGGUUCCUGUGAAGGUAAGGGAAACUGCGAAGAAACAUUGCCAUAUAUACCAUUCAGUUUUAUCAACAAUUCCUGUACAUAUUGUUCUUGUAUUAGCUGUAAAUCCC